GACGAACGCUGGCGGCGUGCUUAACACAUGCAAGUCGAACGGAAAGGCCCUGCUUGCAGGGUGCUCGAGUGGCGAACGGGUGAGUAACACGUGGGUGAACUGCCCCUUACUUUGGGAUAAGCCUGGGAAACUGGGUCUAAUACUGGAUAGGACCAUGCUGUAGGUGGUGUGGUGGAAAGAUUUGUUUCGGUAAGGGAUGAGCUCGCGGCGGAUCAGCUUGUUGGUGGGGUAAUGGCCUACCAAGGCGUCGACGGGUAGCCGGCCUGAGAGGGUGGACGGCCACAUCGGGACUGAGAGACGGGCCAGACUCCUGCGGGAGGCAGCAGUGGGGAAUAUUGCACAAUGGGCGCAAGCCUGAUGCAGCGACGCCGCGUGGGUGAUGAGGGCCUUCGGGUUGUAAACACCUUUCAGCCAUGACGAAGCCCUUGUGGUGACGGUAGUGGUAGAAGAAGCACCGGCUAACUACGUG
rnacentral:rRNA from 1 species